UUGGUCAGGCUGGUCUCGAACUCCUGACCUCAGGUGAUCCACCCACCUCGGCCUCCCAAAGUGCUGGGAUUACAGGCAGGAGCCACUGUGCCCAGUCUUUGCCUAGGCCCAGAGAAAUGACAUCUAUAAUUGGGUUCUACGUUUGAAAAACUUGGAUCAGGUGAUUAUCUCAGAAACAGUUUCCUCCCUGGCAAGAUGGUUUUCCUAAUCAGUGCCCACACCCACCAUGAACCAUUAAAAUCAUGGUGAAAACCAGGGUCCCCCUACGUCAGCCUUUGAUCCUGACUGUU
rnacentral:lncRNA from 1 species